AUUGAACGCUGGCGGCAGGCCUAACACAUGCAAGUCGAGCGGAUGAGGGAAGCUUGCUUCCCGAUUUAGCGGCGGACGGGUGAGUAAUGCCUAGGAAUCUGCCUAUUAGUGGGGGAUAACGUUCCGAAAGGAACGCUAAUACCGCAUACGUCCUACGGGAGGAAGUGGGGGAUCUUCGGACCUCACGCUAAUAGAUGAGCCUAGGUCGGAUUAGCUAGUUGGUGGGGUAACGGCUCACCAAGGCGACGAUCCGUAGCUGGUCUGAGAGGAUGAUCAGCCAAACUGGAACUGAGACACGGUCCAGACUCCUACGGGAGGCAGCAGUGGGGAAUAUUGGACAAUGGGCGAAAGCCUGAUCCAGCCAUGCCGCGUGUGUGAAGAAGGUCUUCGGAUUGUAAAGCACUUUAAGUUGGGAGGAAGGGUUGUAAGCUAAUAUCUUGCAGCUUUGACGUUACCAACAGAAUAAGCACCGGCUAACUCUGUGCCAGCAGCCGCGGUAACAC
rnacentral:rRNA from 1 species